CACGAGUUUGAUCCUGGCUCAAGAACGAACGCUGGCGGCAUGCCUAACACAUGCAAGUCGAACGAGACCUUCGGGUCUAGUGGCGCACGGGUGCGUAACACGUGGGAAUUUGCCUCGGGGUAUGGAAUAACUCAGGGAAACUUGAGCUAAUACCAUAUAAUGUCUUCGGGCCAAAGAUUUAUCGCCCUGAGAUAAGCCCGCGUAGGAUUAGCUAGUUGGUGGGUAAAGGCUCACCAAGGCGACGAUCUUUAGCUGGUCUGAGAGGAUGAUCAGCCACACUGGGACUGAGACACGGCCCAGACUCCUACGGGAGGCAGCAGUGGGGAAUAUUGGACAAUGGGCGAAAGCCUGAUCCAGCAAUGCCGCGUGAGUGAUGAAGGCCUUAGGGUUGUAAAGCUCUUUUACCCGAGAUGAUAAUGACAGUAUCGGGAGAAUAAGCUCCGGCUAACUCCGUG
rnacentral:rRNA from 1 species